rnacentral:rRNA from 1 species
CCUACGGGAGGCAGCAGUGGGGAAUAUUGCACAAUGGGGGAAACCCUGAUGCAGCGACGCCGCGUGAGUGAAGAAGUAUUUCGGUAUGUAAAGCUCUAUCAGCAGGGAAGAAAAUGACGGUACCUGACUAAGAAGCCCCGGCUAACUACGUGCCAGCAGCCGCGGUAAUACGUAGGGGGCAAGCGUUAUCCGGAUUUACUGGGUGUAAAGGGAGCGUAGACGGCCAGACAAGUCAGAAGUGAAAGCCCGGGGCUCAACCCUGGGACUGCUUUUGAAACUGCCGGGCUGGAGUGCAGGAGAGGUAAGCGGAAUGCGUGGUGUAGCGGUGAAAUGCGUAGAUAUUAGGAGGAACACCAGUGGCGAAGGCGGCUUACUGGACUGUAACUGACGUUGAGGCUCGAAAGCGUGGGGAGCAAACAGGAUUAGAUACCCCUGUAGUC